ACUGCNUGCCCAGUGNCUAAAGUUAAACGGCCGCGGUAUCCUGACCGUGCAAAGGUAGCAUAAUCACUUGUUCCUUAAUUAGGGACUGGUAUGANNGGCUAAACGAGAGCUCAACUGUCUCUUAUUUUUAAUCAGUGAAAUUGACAUCCCCGUGAAGAGGCGGGGAUACCACAAUAAGACGAGAAGACCCUAUGGAGCUUUAAUUUACAUCUAAAUUUAACUACUAUCCUACCCUAAUGGACUAAAAACCUUAAAUAUUAGAUUAAAAUUUCGGUUGGGGUGACCUCGGAGCAUAAAAAACCCUCCGAACGACAAUAACCAAGACCCACAGGUCAAAGUAACUAAAACAGUCUAAUUGACCCAAUCUUUGAUCAACGGACCAAGUUACCCUAGGGAUAACAGCGCAAUCCUAUUUAAGAGUUCAUAUCGACAAUAGGGUUUACGACCUCGAUGUUGGAUCAGGACAUCCCAAUGGUGUANCAGCUAUUAAUGGUUCGUUUG
rnacentral:rRNA from 1 species